GACGUAGGGCGCGAGCGUUGUCCGGAUUUAUUGGGCGUAAAGAGCUCGUAGGCGGCUUGUCGCGUCGACUGUGAAAUCCCGCGGCUCAACUGCGGGUCUGCAGUCGAUACGGGCAGGCUAGAGUUCGGUAGGGGAGACUGGAAUUCCUGGUGUAGCGGUGAAAUGCGCAGAUAUCAGGAGGAACACCGGUGGCGAAGGCGGGGUCUCUGGGGCCGAUACUGACGCUGAGGAGCGAAAGCGUGGGGAGCGAACAGG
rnacentral:rRNA from 1 species